rnacentral:rRNA from 1 species
CGGGGUGAGUAACGCGUGGAUAACCUGCCUCACACAGGGGGAUAACAGUUAGAAAUGACUGCUAAUACCGCAUAAGCGCACAGUCUCGCAUGGGACAGUGUGAAAAACUGAGGUGGUGUGAGAUGGAUCCGCGUCUGAUUAGGCAGUUGGCGGGGUAACGGCCCACCAAACCGACGAUCAGUAGCCGGCCUGAGAGGGUGAACGGCCACAUUGGGACUGAGACACGGCCCAAACUCCUACGGAAGGCAGCAG